rnacentral:rRNA from 1 species
AACGAACGCUGGCGGCAUGCCUAACACAUGCAAGUCGAACGAGACCUUCGGGUCUAGUGGCGCACGGGUGCGUAACGCGUGGGAACCUGCCCUUAGGUUCGGAAUAACUCCCCGAAAGGGGUGCUAAUACCGGAUAAUGUCUUCGGACCAAAGAUUUAUCGCCUUUGGAUGGGCCCGCGUUGGAUUAGCUAGUUGGUAGGGUAAAAGCCUACCAAGGCGACGAUCCAUAGCUGGUCUGAGAGGAUGAUCAGCCACACUGGGACUGAGACACGGCCCAGACUUCUACGGGAGGCAGCAGUGGGGAAUAUUGGACAAUGGGGGAAAGCCUGAUCCAGCCAUGCCGCGUGAGUGAUGAAGGCCUUAGGGUUGUAAAGCUCUUUUACCCGGGAUGAUAAUGACAGUACCGGGAGAAUAAGCUCCGGCUAACUCCGUG